GGCCUCCCCCUCACUCCGCCCUAGACACUAAUCUACUUUCUGUCUCUAUGGAUUUGCCUAUUCUGGAUAUUUCAUAUAAGUGGGAUCAUGUCCCACAUUUUUGGUCUUUUGUAACUUGCUUCUAUCACUCGCAAAAUGUUUGCAAGGGGAGUUCCUGCUGUGGCGCAGUGGGUUGAGAAUCUGACUGCAGUGGCUCAGGUUGCUGUGAAGCUGCGGGUUCCUUCCCCAGCCUGGCACAGUGGGUUAAAGGAUCUGGCAUUGAUCUAGCUACAGUGUGGGUCACAGCUGUGGCUGGGAUUCAAUCCCUGGCCCAGGGAACUACCAUAUACCAUAGGGUGGCAAAAAAAAGUUACCAAAAAAAAAAAAGUUUGCAAGGCUCAUGUAUGACUUGGGGGGGGGGGCUUUUUUUUGGGCCGCACUUGUGGCAUAUGGAGGUUCCCAGGCUAGGGGUCGAAGUGGGAUCCGAGUUGCAUCAGCCACCACAGCUCACAGCAAUGCCAGAUCCUUAACCCACUGAGCGAGCCAGGGAUCGAAUCUGCAUCCUCAUGGGAACUAGUCAGAUUCAUUUUCACUGAGCCACCACGGGAACUCCAAUAUAAUUUUUUUUUGGUCUUUUUUUGCCUUUUCUUGGGGCCGCUCCUGCGGCAUAUCGAGGUUCCCAGGCCAGGGGGUCUCAUCACAGCUGUUGUUGCCGGCCUACGCCAGAGCCGCAGCAGCUCGGGAUCCGAGCCGCGUCUGCAACCUACGCCACAGCUCAUGGCCACGCCAGAUCCUUAAUCCACGGAGCAAGGCCAGGGAUCGAACCCACAACCUCAAGGUUCCUAGUCAGAUUUGUUAACCACUGCGCCACAAUGGGAACUCCAAUAUAACUUUUUAAGGCGUCAGCUGAUCCCAUGUGAGAGGUGUUACCACAGUCUGAUUGCUCCUAAUGUCAAAAGCCGGCUGUGAGGCUGGGGCUGAGUGGUAAUAGCAGUAAAUGUUAGGUAUGUAACCCCUGGCUCUGAAGAGCUGUCUGUCUUCUGGGGAAGAUGGGCUUUAAGUGCAUUUCUACAUAGAUAUUAAGUGCUAAUUUCUGCAGUGGAGAAACUUGAAGUAGUUUGAAAGCAUAUACUGGGCAGAGGGUGAGUGGAGGCUGCUCUCCCUUAAUGCCCACGUCUUCUGGGUGGUCGCCACCCACAGGUCUCACACUGGGACCUCCCUCCAGUGUCUAUGAAGUGACUCUCUGGGCAAUGAUGACGUGGUGCAAAGGGAGACUGCGUUUGUGUCCUUGAGGAGCUGACUCUGUCCCAGGGCAGACAGCUGUCCUUGCUGAGGGAUGGUCCAGAGUCUGGGCCGUGGGUGCUGGAGCCUGGGUGGAUCUCGUAGAAGGAUUCAAAGGCAUUUUGAGUUCCUGUUGUGAUGCAGCAGAAACGAAUCCGACUAGGAUCCAUGACGACUCUGGUUCGAUCCUUGGCCUCGCUUAGUGGGUUAAGGAUCUGGCGUUGCCGUGAGCUAUGGUGUAGGUUGCAGUCGUGGCUUGGAUCCCAAGUUUCUGUGGCUGUGGUACAGGCUGGCAGCUGCAGCUCCAAUUUGACCCCUAGCCUGGAAACUUCCAUAUGCCGUGGGUAUGGCCCUGAAAAAACAAAAAGGAAAAAAAAAAAAAAAGAGGCAUUUUGAGCGAGCACUGAUGAUGCUGGAUUGGGAUUUUGACAGAUGAGUAAAAUAUCUUAGGAAGCUGCCAUGCACCUGGCGGGACUAAGCAGAGGUCACGGGGAAAAGUGUAAAGGUAUUCAGAGUGUUCAUUGGGGGUCGGGGCAUCAAGGAGUCUGUUGUGGCCACGAUCUGGGGACCAGCUACAGGCAAGGAAGGUUGCUUCUAGGUUGUGAAGUAUCCUAAAGCAAAGGUUAGAAGCUUUACCCUACACGCCUCAGAUUUUCAGCCUCUAAUUCCGAGGACCCUCACCUGCCUUUGGGGCAGUCACUGCUUUCCUGUCCUAUGACUCACCAUGAGUGGGCGUGCAGGUGGUAUGUGGCCUCAAGGCUUUUCUAGAGGGCACCAGAAUCAUUUGGAGGGAGCUGUCUCCUUUAAGUGUCAGUGCUGAAGGCAUCAGAACUUUUAAAAGCAUGAAAUGAGGAGGCUGUUCUUUCAGAGUCCCUGGGCCGUAGAAACUUAAGAAGUUGGCAGACAGCCAGGAAGGAGCUGAAUACUGCCAGCACCUUCAGGGUAUGAAGUUUGUCUGGGCCCAAACUAAUUAUUAUUAUUUUUGGUCCUUUUUAGGGCUGUUCCUGAGGCAUAUGGAAGUUCUCAGGCUAGGGGUUGAAUCAGAGCCGCAGACUCCAGCCUACACCACAGUCACAGCAACUUGGGAUCUGAAUUGUAUCUGCAACCUACACCAUAGCUCGUGGCAACGCUGGAUCCUGAACCCACUUUGCAAGUACUGAUGAGGUUUAUCUGUUCACAAAGGGUCAAGAGAUUGGGCAAGGUAGCAUUUAGCUCGAGGUGGGUGUUUUCUUUGAAUACAUGUUUAAAGUGGCCCAUCAAUAUACAAGAUAUGUUGGGAGUUUCCUUCGUGGCUCAGGGGUUAAGGAACCCGGCUAGGAUCCAUGAGCUUGCGGGUUUGAUCCCUGGCCUUGAGCAGUGGGUUAAGGAUCUGGUGUUGCCGUGAGCUGUGGUGUAGGUCACAGACAUGGCUCGAGUCCCGUGUUGCUGUGGCUGUGGCGUAGGCCGGCAGCAGCAGCUCCAAGUAGACCCCCUAGCCUGGGAACUUACAUAUGCUUCAGGUGUGGUCCCAAAAAGCAAAAAACAAAACAAAACAAAAAACCCAAAAAAGUAUAUAUAUAUAUGACACAAGAUAUGUCACCACCUGGUUUUUAUCAUUCUGUUAUUUAAUGAUGAUGCAUCGCUUGCUUAUUGGUACCAGUGAGUCUUUUCAUGGUUUUGCAUUGCUUCCAACCAGUCAAUUUCUCAGAGUUCCCUUGUGACCUAGUGGUUACGGAUCUGACAUUGUCCCUGGAAGGCUUGGGUGGGUGUGGGUUUGAUUCCUGGCUGGGGACCUUUCAUAUGCCAUGGGCAUGGCCAAAAAAAUUCUCAUGCAUUUAUGGAUUGGUUAAGAGCAUGAACAGUCAUGACCCUGAGACUUAAUUCCCCAUUAUCGAGGGCCAUCCAGGUAGGGGAUGCAUUCAUGAGUGAUCUCACUUAAUCCUCAUUGUCUAGAAGGAGGACGGAGGAGGCUAGAGGCGUGCAGUGACUUGCUUGAGGCCUCAGAUGUGGUCAGGGCUGAGCUGGUUCCAGGGCAGGAGCUCCUGGCUGGAUCUGCUGUGCUGAGCUAUGUCUGGGGGUGACUUGGGGCGGGGGCAGAGCGCAGUUUGUUUGCACCUUCUGCAGUGACUCCGUGGAGGGGCCGCAAGGCCUGGGACAUGGCUGGGCUUCAAAGCCACCAGAGUGUGUAACCUUGGCUUCCCUUUCUUUUGUUCCACUGCAGGAAAAGAAGGGCCUGUUUUAAGAGGCCUCACCAAACAGCUGGCUGCAAAGGGCUGCUCUUUGAGACCAGGUUGUCUGCAGAGUCCCGAGCUGUCGGGGUUGGCCGGCUGCCUUUCUUCUCUGGCGGUGUGUGUGUGUUCUCCGUGUUUCCAGGGUGAAGCGCCCACGAGCAGGUCAGUGUCGGUUUUCUUUUCAUUUGGGUGACCUCUCUAAGUCCCCGUGUUUAAAGCUGGACUGAGUUCAUUGCUUUCCUUGCUGUGAAGAGCUGCCAUGGAGAUGCCCCGAAGGGCUGCAGGCCUCACCUUUCAUCCACACCCCCUCCCGCACCAGGGCUGCUGCUGGGCUCCUGCCUGGAGCUGCUGGGGUCAGUGGGUGGGACACCCCUGGGUGUUCUUAAAUCCACUGGUAGCUGGUGCCUAAACUCCAACUCAGGAUGGCGGCUGUGUGGUCCAUGUCUGGAUGCUGCAGAGCCUUUUCCAGAAUGAGCCGCCCCUGCUCUUGUCUUGACCUCCCCACCAUCUGUCUUCAAAUAGUAGCCCGAGGGCACCUUUUAGGUCAGACAGUGUUGCUGUGCUCAAAACCUUCCUGUGCUUUUUUUUCCUAAGUGUUUCGUGAAAAAUAUUUCUUUCUUUCUUUCUUUUUUCCUAGCUAACAACAUAGUUGUUUUUUUUUAUCUUACUUUAUUUUUAUUUUUUUAAAUUACUCAAUGAAUUUAUUACAUUUAUAGUUGUACAAUGAUCAACACAAUCCAAUUUUAUAGGAUUUCCAUCCCACAACCCUAGCACAUCCCCCCACCCCCCCGAACUGUCUCCUUUGGAAACCAUACGUUUUUCAAAGUCUGUGAGUCAGUAUCUGUUCUGCAAAGAAGUUCAUUCUGUCCUUUUUCCAGAUUCCACAUGUCAGUGAGAGCAUUUGAUGUUGGUGUCUCACUGUUUGGCUGACUUCACUUAGCAUGAUAAUUUCUUGGUCCAUCCAUGCUGCUGCAAAUGCCGUUAUUGUGUUCCUUUUAAUGGCCGAGUAAUAUUCCAUUGUGUAUAUGUACCACCUCUUCUGGAUCCACUCCUCUGUUGAUGGACAUUUAGGUUGUUUCCAUGUCUUGGCUAUUGCAUAGAGUGCUGCAAUGAACAUCGGAGUACAUGUGUCUUUGUGAGUCAUGGUUUUCUCUGGAUAGAUGCCCAGGAAUGGGAUUGCUGGAUCAAAUGGUAGUUCUAUUUUCAGUUUUCUGAGGCAUCUCCAUACUGUUUUCCCCAGUGGCUGCCCCAAUUUACAUUCCCACCAACAGUGUAAUAGGGUCCCCUUUUCUCCACAUCCUCUCCAGCAUUUAUUGUUUGUAGACAUUUAGAUGAUGGCCAUUCUGGCUGGUGUAAGGUGGUACCUCUUCAUGGCUUUGAUUUGCAUUUCUCUAAUAAUGAGUGAUGUUGAACAUCUUUUCAUGUGUUUUUUGGCCACCUGUAUAUCUUCUUUGGAGAAUUGUCUGUUUAGAUCUUCUGCCCAUUUUUUGAUGGGGAACAAUAUUUCUUUAAUGGAGUUAUGGUUCAGAAAUUUCCACGUGAUUAAUAUCACAUUUAAAUAUAAGUAGCUUGAUGAAAUGAUGUAUAGCAUGAAGAGGCGAAGACUUAUAUUCUAAAGGUUUGAAUCCCUCGAUUUAAGGUCUAGAGCUGCCAUUUAGAAUGAGAGCUUGUGAAUUUAAAGAUGUCAUUUGGCAUCUCGGAGUUUUCUUAUCUGUUAAAAUUGGCAGAUGUGAUAUAAUUCUGAUUUCUUCAAAACCGUGUUGGUGUAAGGAUCAAAUGAGCUGAUAGGCUUUUUUUUUUUUUUUUUCCUUUCUCUGUAUCGUAUUAUCUUCCAUCAAAAAGUUUUAUAGGUGGCUCAGCAUUAACAAGCCCAACUAGGAUCCAUGAGGACGUGGGUUUGAUUCCUGGCCUCACUCAGCGGGUUAAGGAUCCCGCAUUGCUGUGAGCUAUGAUGUAGGUUGCAGAUGCAGCUCGGAUCCUGUGUUGCUGUGGCGGUGGUGUAGGCUGACAGCUGUAGCUCCGAUCCAACCCCUAGCCUGGGAACCUCCGUAUGCCUCAAGUGCGGCCCUAAAAAAAGAAAAAAGAAAAAA
rnacentral:lncRNA from 1 species